AGUGAACGCUGGCGGUAGGCCUAACACAUGCAAGUCGAACGGCAGCACAGGAGAGCUUGCUCUCUGGGUGGCGAGUGGCGGACGGGUGAGGGAUACAUCGGAAUCUACUUUUUCGUGGGGGAUAACGUAGGGAAACUUACGCUAAUACCGCAUACGACCUACGGGUGAAAGCAGGGGACCUUCGGGCCUUGCGCGAUUGAAUGAGCCGAUGUCGGAUUAGCUAGUUGGCGGGGUAAAGGCCCACCAAGGCGACGAUCCGUAGCUGGUCUGAGAGGAUGAUCAGCCACACUGGAACUGAGACACGGUCCAGACUCCUACGGGAGGCAGCCGUGGGGAAUAUUGGACAAUGGGCGCAAGCCUGAUCCAGCCAUACCGCGUGGGUGAAGAAGGCCUUCGGGUUGUAAAGCCCUUUUGUUGGGAAAGAAAUCCAGCUGGCUAAUACCCGGUUGGGAUGACGGUACCCAAAGAAUAAGCACCGGCUAACUUCGUGCCAGCAGCCGCAGUAA
rnacentral:rRNA from 1 species